CCUACGGGAGGCAGCAGUGAGGAAUAUUGGUCAAUGGGCGGAAGCCUGAACCAGCCAAGUAGCGUGCAGGAUGACGGCCCUACGGGUUGUAAACUGCUUUUAUACGGGAAUAACGCGCCUUACGUGUAGGGCUUUGCAUGUACCGUAUGAAUAAGGACCGGCUAACUCCGUGCCAGCAGCCGCGGUAAUACGGAGGAUGCGAGCGUUAUCCGGAUUUAUUGGGUUUAAAGGGUGCGUAGGCGGGCUUUUAAGUCAGCGGUAAAAAUUCGGGGCUCAACCCCGUCCGGCCGUUGAAACUGGGGGCCUUGAGUGGGCGAGAAGAAGGCGGAAUGCGUGGUGUAGCGGUGAAAUGCAUAGAUAUCACGCAGAACCCCGAUUGCGAAGGCAGCCUUCCGGCGCCCUACUGACGCUGAGGCACGAAAGUGCGGGGAUCGAACAGGAUUAGAUACCCUUGUAGUC
rnacentral:rRNA from 1 species